UACAGAGGGGGCAAGCGUUGUUCGGAAUUACUGGGCGUAAAGGGCGCGUAGGCGGCCUGUUAAGUCGAACGUGAAAUCCCCGGGCUCAACCCGGGAACUGCGUCCGAUACUGGCAGGCUUGAAUCCGGGAGAGGGAUGUGGAAUUCCAGGUGUAGCGGUGAAAUGCGUAGAUAUCUGGAGGAACACCGGUGGCGAAGGCGGGUCUCUGGGCCGAUACUGACGCUGAGGAGCGAAAGCGUGGGGAGCGAACAGG
rnacentral:rRNA from 1 species